rnacentral:rRNA from 1 species
AGCUGAGAGGUGGUGCAUGGCCGUCGUCAGUUCGUACUGUGAAGCAUCCUGUUAAGUCAGGCAACGAGCGAGACCCACGUCCACAGUUGCCAGCAUACCCUCCCGGGGUGAUGGGUACACUGUGGAGACCGCCGCUGCUAAAGCGGAGGAAGGAGUGGGCAACGGUAGGUCAGUAUGCCCCGAAUCUCCCGGGCUACACGCGGGCUACAAUGGUUGGUACAAUGGGCAUCUACCCCGAAAGGGGAAGGAAAUCUCUUAAAGCCAAUCGUAGUUCGGAUUGAGGGCUGCAACUCGCCCUCAUGAAGCUGGAAUCGCUAGUAAUCGCGUUUCAACAGAACGCGGUGAAUACGUCCCUGCUCCUU